GACAGACAUAACCAUGGACACAGCUUACACUAUCCUCAGCCACUGAUCCCAUCCACAUUACUGUCAGGCUGGCUGAAAUGAUGGGAGUUCCUUCUGACUAUAGGACCCUAAUAGCACAUCCCCUCCCCCAGGGCAAAAGAUCAGUAACACCUUCAUUCGUCAAACUGGUGAUUUCUAGAAUAAAGAGCUCGUUUCAGGGGAAAACCGAC